rnacentral:rRNA from 1 species
AUUGAACGCUGGCGGAAUGCUUUACACAUGCAAGUCGAACGGCAGCACGGACUUCGGUCUGGUGGCGAGUGGCGAACGGGUGAGUAAUGUAUCGGAACGUGCCCAGUCGUGGGGGAUAACGUAGUGAAAAUUACGCUAAUACCGCAUACGAUCUAUGGAUGAAAGCGGGGGAUCGCAAGACCUCGCGCGAUUGGAGCGGCCGAUAUCAGAUUAGGUAGUUGGUGGGGGAAAGGCCCACCAAGCCAACGAUCUGUAGCUGGUCUGAGAGGACGAACAGCCAAACUGGAACUGAGACACGGUCCAGACUCCUACGGGAGGCAGCAGUGGGGAAUUUUGGACAAUGGGCGAAAGCCUGAUCCAGCCAUUCCGCGUGCAGGAUGAAGGCCCUCGGGUUGUAAACUGCUUUUGUACAGAACGAAAAGGUUUCUACUAAUACUAGGAGCUCAUGACGGUACUGUAAGAAUAAGCACCGGCUAACUACGUGCCAGCCGCCGCGGUAA